rnacentral:lncRNA from 1 species
UAUGUAUAUUUUUAUAUUAGUGUAUUAUAUACUUGUUAUAAAAGUAUUAUAAAUAUACAUGGGAAAGCCCAUGUAUUUCACCUGAAUUUAGUACUUAACAUGGUUGCAAAAUACAUAUCCUGCCACAUGCAUCAAACAUAGAAUAAAGUAUGCUUUGUCUGAGGGCUCUUCCAUACACAGAUAUGACCUUCACUUUAUGAAGCCAGCUGGGCUAAUGAGAAGAACUUGGGAAAAAGGAGGCUGUUCUGCAAAUAAUAUUGAUUACAGGAUUCAAUGGAAAAAAAAAUUCUGCAAAGUAUUGUAAAUAUGAAGAACCAUAUGUAGAAAAAAACUCCACGAAAAAUUAUAUCAUAAUAAUGUGAGAAGAGUAAGUCAAGGUUAAAUGGGGAAGUUAAGGUUAAUAAUGACUUUGACCCUGAAGCCAACACAGUUCCUUUUCUCCUAUACCAUUGGAUUUCUUUACAUGCAUUUUAAGAGAGGUGUUUGGAUCUGGGUUACAUAAUCUGUUGUUCUUUGCUCCAGAAGAACAUUGUGUUGCAUCUUUGGAGAUUUCCUUCUGCUCCUUAAUAAAAAGAAUUGUUCUUAAAAACUCUGCUGUUUGGAGCCAGGCUUUAGCUAGUGUGGUUUUUCCAUAUUACCCAUGCUCUAGGCAGAGCCAACAUUAAAUGUAAGUUUGAUGCAAAUUGUGAAGAAAAGUAAGUAAUAAUGGAUGAGGUUUAUUCAUUCUUGUAUAAGUUUUGCCUGAGCAAAAAGUUUGUACAUUUUAUUAUUACUAAUUAUUUCUUAGACUUGCUCUUUAUUACUUUGAAGAAGGCAUUUACCCCAUCAGCAGACUGAAAGUCUUUGCCAGACCAAAGGCUAGUCAAUAUACCACAUUUUUUUAAUCAUAUAUAUUACUAGGAUUGAAGAAAAAUUGAGUGAAAGGAGUCGUAUUUGUGAAAUAUAUCAUCUGAAGACCAUAUAGCUAUUAGGAAUUAGCCAUGCAAAUAGAAAAUAUCCUGAAAUCCUUGAAACUUCUGUUUGGUAUUCAGCAUUUGCAUUAGCUGUUCUCUCUUCUAAGCUGUCUUCACUAACAACAUUUUUGAGUAAUUUUUCCUUCACCCAACAACUAGUUUUUCAAUUCUUUGACACCAUCUGGGUGUCCUACAGUUUAAUUCAGUUCUGACAUUAACCUCCCAGAAUUGGCACAGACUUCACGGGUUAAGGGCUCAGUUCCAUAAGACAGCGCCGACUUUGGAUGCCAGUAGUAAGUUCCAGGUUGCCAUCUAUACUUUUGACAGCCGUCUGUAUAUUGGGGGUUUCCAUGACUCCCUCCUCAUGUGGGAUAAUUUGCUAAAAUGUCUCGUAGAACACAGGAUAUAAUGUACUUUUUUAUUUUUAUUUUUUAAAUAAAGGAUGCAAUUCAGGAACAGCUAAAUGGAAGACAUGAAUAGGGCAAUGUAUGGGAGUGGGGCACACAUGCGGCUUCCAUGCUUUCUAUGGGCAUGUCACCUCCCAGCACCUUGAUGCAUUCACCAACCCAGAAGCUCUCUGUACCCCAGCAUUAGACAUUUUUAAUGAAGGUUGCAUUGAUUAAAUCAUUGGUGAUUAUCCUAGUCUCCAGUGCCUCACACCUCCCCAGAGGUCAAGGGGUAGGGCUGAGAAUUCCAACUUCCUGAUCAUGCCUUGGUCUUUCUGGUGACUAGCGCCCAUCCUGAAGCUAUGUAAGGGCCCACCAAAAGUGGCCUCAUUAGGAGAAAAGAUGCUCUUAUUACCCAGGAAAUUUCAAGGGACUUAGUAGGAGCCCCUGUCAGGAACCAAGGAUAAAGAGCAAAUAUUAGGAACAAAAGAUCCUCCUAUCAACCCUGUCAUUCAGGAGAUUACAAAGGUUUUAGGAGCUUUGUUUAAUGAAUUGUGAGCACAGACCAAAUAUAUAUAGUUUUUUUUUGUUUUUUUUUUUUUAAAUCAGACUCUUUAUUUUAUUAUAUAAGUUUUGGGUGCAGUGUUAUAGUUUAACAUCUGUAUACUCUAUUUUUUUUUAUUGUAAUCAAUUGUUAUUUCCCCAAUACCAUUUUUUUUCCCUACUAUAUAGCAUGGUGACCCAGUUACGUAUACGUGUAUACAUUCUUUUUUCUCAAAUUAUCAUGCUCCAUUUUAGGUGACCAGAUAUAGUUCUCAUUGCUACACAGCAGGAUCUCAUUGUUAAUCCAUUCCACAGGCAAUAGUCUGCAUCUGUGAACCCCAAGCUACCAAUCCAUCCCACUCCAUUCCCCUCCCCUUGGCAACCACAAGUCUAUUCUCCAAGUCCCUAAUUUUCUUUUCUGUGGAAAGGUUCAUUUGUGCCUUAUAUUAGAUUCCAGAUGUAAGUGAUAUCAUAUGGUAUUUGUCUUUCUCUUUCUGACUUACUUCACUCAGGAUGAGAGUCUCUAGUUCCAUCCAUGUUGCUGCACAUGGCAUUCUUUUCUACUUUUUUAUGGCUGAGUAGUAUUCCAUUGUGUAUAUGUACCACAUCUUCCUAAUCCAGUCAUCUGUUGAUGACAUUUGGAUUGUUUCCAUGUCUUAGCUAUUGUGAAUAGUGCUGCAAUGAACAUGCAGGUGCAUGUGUCUUUUUUAAGCAAAGUUUUGUCUGGAUAUAUGCCCAAGAGUGGGCUUGCUGGGUCAUAUGGUAGUUCUACGUGUAGUUUUCUAAGGUACCUCCAUACUGUUCUCCAUAAUGGUUGCGACAGCUUACAUUCCCAACAGUUCAGGAGGUUCCCUUUUUACCACAUCCUUUCCAGCAUUUGUUAUUUGUGGACUUCUUAAUGAUGGCCAUUCUGACUGGUGUGAGGUGGCUCCUCAUGGUAGUUUUGAUUGCAUUUCUCUAAUAAUCAGUGAUGUUGAGCAUUUUUACAUGUGCUUGUUGGCCAUCUGUAUAUACUCUAAUUUUUAAGAGUAGGAAAAAUAUUGUCCUCCUUUCUCCCUCACCCAUCUCAUGUGUCAGUUAUAUUUAAUUAAGUAUCUGGCUUUUAUCCUCUCAGAGCUUCUUCACUAAGAAAUAUUUUCAUUAAAAUUCCAAUAAAGGAAAUGGAAAAGAGAGACUUCCUCAUAUUUUGUAGAGUAUAUUUUCUUUUUUUUCCCUUAUAAUCUUAAGAUGUUAUAUGAAGAGUAUGAUAAUGUUCACAAAAGUCUUGUGAUUUGAGAUAUAUACCGUAAAUUACAAACAAAUUUCCUUUGCCAAACAAUAAAUAUGACAAAUGGGAAAUAAUAACAUGUUUUCUCAGAAUGCGUUUUUUAGUUCACUUUUGUGCCUGGUCUUAAAAAUGUUGAUAUUUUUUGCUCUGCCUUUGCCCCUCAUCUAUCCUCCAUAGUACAUGGGUCACUUGAUUGAAAUCAGUCAUACAUGUAUUUAAAGAAUAUGUAUUUACAUGUGUUUAAAGAAUACCUGUGCACUAAUAACUGCCAGAUCUAUACUUAUAAUAUGGCGCUGCCUCUUAAGCAUCUCAUACAUAUAGGUAGAAAUCUUCCAGUUUUCCCAUAUACAUUUCAAGCAUUAAUUUAUUCAUUCACUCAGUGCAUUUUUAUUGAGGGCCUGCUUUGUUCCCUCAGUAAAACACUUAACCUGUCCAAAACUUGUCAUUUAUAUUUCCUCUCCAUAAGUAAAUACUCAUCUCCACAUAACAAAUAUGGAAACCUGGGGACUAAUGUUCCAUUCAUUCCUUUGAUUAUGAUGAUGAUGGUAAAAAUAACUGAUCUAACACUAUGAUAAGCAUUUAAUAUAUUUCAGUAACUCAUUGAAUUCUCACAACAGCUCUGUGAGUUAGGAAUUAUUUUUAUUUUAAAGUCAGAAAUUUGAGCUGAGAAUUAUGUAAAUUAUUUAAAGUCAUACAACUAGUAGGUGGGAGAGAUGGGUCUGAAGUACAGUAGCAAUGACCAACUAAUUCUCUUUUGUUAACAUGACUGAUACAAGUCUACCUCUUUUCCAUUCUCACUGCUACAAAGUGUAGUUUGGCCCAUCAUCACUUGGACUACUUUAAUUUCCCUUAUCUUGGAUCAUAUGUCUCCAUUUCAUCCUAAUACUGCUAACAAUAAAUCUUUCUAAGACCUGAUUGUGUUACUUGUCAAUUAAAAGCCUUUCAGUAACUUCUCAUUAACUAUAUGACAUGGUACAAACUUGUCAACGUGGCCCUCCGUGAGUUGCAUCUUGCCUCUCUCUUGUAUCACCUCUUACCAUAAUCUUCUUUUCAUUAUGUGCUUUAGUCAUAUGGAAUUAUUUGAAGAUCUUGUAAAGUAUCAUGUUAUGUCAAGCUUCUUUCCUUUUUUUAAUUUAGUCUCUUUACUCUGCUUUGAAUGCCAUUUUUCCCUGGUGCAAUUUUUGAAUCUGUAUUGUCCAUUUAAGACUCAUUUUAUUUAAGAAGCUGUUUCUUGGACUCUGGGUAUACUUAAUCCUUUGUAUACUUCUAUUAUUUCAACUAUAAAGGUUUAUUUACUUAAUUCUUUACAAGUUGGUUUCUCCUUUGGGGUUUGAAUUCCUUGAGGCUGUAAACCAUCUUCACUUAAUUGUAUCUAGGACAGUGUCUGACAUACCACAAAUGAAAGGUGAAUGACUCCUUAUGUGUAUCCCAGGUAAACUGCAGAAUUUGCAGUAGUUUGCUCAGAGUCACAAAUUAUUUUAUAACUAUGGAUUAUUUUAUUCUUUCUACUUCAAGAUUAAAGAUAUAUAAGAAUUCAUGACUGGCCUAGAAUUAAUCUUGGGCAACUAGGUGAUGGUAUUUGAAUAGUUUAUCUCUACCCCCAAGUUUGUAAACUUCAUUUUUGUGCUUGGUUCCCAUGUAUCUCUAACCAUACAUCUUCUUUAUCUCAGUUCUUAUGUAUUUUUUCAUCCAUGAUUUCCUAAUAGGAAUACUUUUUCCCCUUCUAUUUUUUUUUGUUUUUAUAGUUCAGAUGUGUGGUUGGGAAUAUCAGGACUCUGUCAGAUUGUGGGCCUUAAAAAUGGAAAAAUGGGUAUAAUUAUUUUGUUUUGGGAGCAGCCUAACACAGACCAACUGCUGAAAAAGCAAAGUGAAACAAAAUAAUCUAAAAGUUUGAUUUGUUUUGGUAUGUCUGAAUAGUCCAUCAGUCCUAAUGAGAGUUAUUUAAGGGGCUGAUUUUACUCUUGAUAUUAUUUUAGGAAAGCACAUAAAUUAUACAUUAAUAGAUUUUAUUUAAUGAGCUACUAUUUAAUAAUAAUAAUGAGUUAUUACUUAAUUUUAUUUAUUAAGAGUAAAGGUACUCUUUCUGCAUGGCAGUAGAGAAAUUUCAACUAGGAGAAAACCUUCAACUUUAGAGAUGGAUACCCUAUUGUGUAAAUGGAACAUAUUUUCACAGAUAUACCUUUCAGAUUAUAAACUAUAUAUAUUAACAUGCUUCUGUUUUUGGUAAACAUUUAAAAUGUAUAUAUAUAUAUAUGUAUAUAUAUUUGCAUGGAAAAAAUAAAAGAAAUGCUUAUAUGGCUUAUUACUUGAGGUAGUGUUUCAGUGGAUUUAUUUCCUAUAUAUUGUUCUCCUGUAUGUUAAAAUAUAUAUAAUAUAUAUAUUUUAGUGUACUGCUAUUUGUGAGAUAUAAAUAAAGGAAAAGUAAGAUAUACUUUAAAAGGAUUCUCUAACAUAUAAAGAUAAUUUUAAUGUGGUAGUAUCCUUCUGGGAAGACUAUUUUUAGAGCAGAGCUCAGCACCGCAAGUACCGCAGAGUUUUCCCCAAGUAUAUUCAGUUCUACAAUCCAUUAAUGAAAAGUAGACAUUUUUAUGAAGGUUUCAUGGAGAGAGGAGAACAAAACUUACUACAUACCCCCUUGUUAAUUUUCCAAAAAUUCUUUUUCUGAUGCAACCAAUAUCACAUUUCUUCUCUACCUUCCAACUUCUUCCCAACAGCUUCUUAGCCAUAGUAAGUCUUAGCAUCUUCUCUCUCUUAGAUUUUUCUCUUUAUUUCAAUCCUUUUCCCCCAAAGGAUUGUAAUUAUAGUUCUUUUGGAUUCCCUGGUUUUAUACCUUCUCACUUAACAAUCCAAUCAGCCAACAAAGGAACUUCAUUAUGACUCCCCUCUUCUCAGAAGUCAGGAGCAUUUUGGAGUUCUCUUGUGGCAUAGUGGGUUAAGGAUCUGGAGUUGUAACUGCAGUGGCUUGGAUUGCUGCUGUGGCAAAAAAAAAAAAAAAAAAAAAAAAAAAAAAA